rnacentral:rRNA from 1 species
AUUGAACGCUGGCGGAAUGCUUUUCACAUGCAAGUCGAACGGCAGCACGGACUUCGGUCUGGUGGCGAGUGGCGAACGGUGAGUAAUGUAUCGGAACGUGCCCAGUCGUGGGGGAUAACGUAGUGAAAAUUACGCUAAUACCGCAUACGAUCUAUGGAUGAAAGCGGGGGAUCGCAAGACCUCGCGCGAUUGGAGCGGCCGAGAUCAGAUUAGGUAGUUGGUGGGGUAAAGGCCCACCAAGCCAACGACCUGUAGCUGGUCUGAGAGGACGACCAGCCGCACUGGAACUGAGACACGGUCCAGACCCCUACGGGAGGCAGCAGUGGGGAAUUUUGGACAAUGGGCGAAAGCCUGAUCCAGCCAUUCCGCGUGCAGGAUGAAGGCCCUCGGGUUGUAAACUGCUUUUGUACAGAACGAAAAGGUUUCUACUAAUACUAGGAGCUCAUGACGGUACUGUAAGAAUAAGCACCGGCUAACUACGUGCCAGCAGCCGCUGUAA